rnacentral:rRNA from 1 species
UGGGGAAUAUUGCACAAUGGGGGGAACCCUGAUGCAGCGACGCCGCGUGAAGGAAGAAGUAUCUCGGUAUGUAAACUUCUAUCAGCAGGGAAGAGAAUGACGGUACCUGACUAAGAAGCCCCGGCUAACUACGUGCCAGCAGCCGCGGUAAUACGUAGGGGGCAAGCGUUAUCCGGAUUUACUGGGUGUAAAGGGAGCGUAGACGGCACAGCAAGUCUGAUGUGAAAGCCCGGGGCUCAACCCCGGGACUGCAUUUGAAACUGUGAAGCUGGAGUGUCGGAGAGGUAAGUGGAAUUCCUAGUGUAGCGGUGAAAUGCGUAGAUAUUAGGAAGAACACCAGUGGCGAAGGCGGCUUACUGGACGAUUACUGACGCUGAGGCUCGAAAGCG